rnacentral:rRNA from 1 species
AUUGAACGCUGGCGGCAUGCUUUACACAUGCAAGUCGAACGGCAGCAUGACCAAGCUUGCUUGGUUGAUGGCGAGUGGCGAACGGGUGAGUAACACAUCGGAACGUGCCCUGUAGUGGGGGAUAACCUACCGAAAGGUAGGCUAAUACCGCAUACGACCUGAGGGUAAAAGUGGGGGACCGCAAGGCCUCACGCUAUAGGAGCGGCCGAUGGAAGAUUAGCUAGUUGGUGAGGUAAAGGCCCACCAAGGCGACGAUCUUAGCGGGUCUGAGAGGACGAUCCGCCACACUGGGACUGAGACACGGCCCAGACUCCUACGGGAGGCAGCAGUGGGGAAUUUUGGACAAUGGGGGCAACCCUGAUCCAGCAAUGCCGCGUGAGUGAAGAAGGCCUUCGGGUUGUAAAGCUCUUUUGUUUGGGAAGAAAAAUCUGGUGUUAAUACCACUGGAUGCUGACGGUACCAAAAGAAUAAGCACCGGCUAACUACGUGCCAGCCGCCGCGGUAA